GUUUUUGCGCGGCGUUUCCGCUGAUUUUUCCCGCCGUGCUCUCCGCUAUUGACGCCUGGGGCAGCGGAACGGCCGUGACGGUUUCGAGCGCCCGGCCCGGCAGCCCGGACGUUUUCCCCCUGUCCCCUUGCGGCACGGCCUCCAAAUUUUCGGUGGGCUGCGGCGCCGUGGGUUCUCUGCCGGGCCCGGUGGCCUUCUCGUGGACCGACCACCAGAACCGGAGCCUGCCGGCGGGGGCGUCCGUGACGUCAUUUCCUCAGAUGCCCUGGCGGGUUUCCGGAACUUUCCUGGUGGUCUCCAAGCUGGGGAUGGAUUUGGACGAGGGGAAAUCGCGGCAGCCGUUCUGGUGCCGCGCCGAGCAGGCGAGGGGAACGAGCAGCGUCCAGGUGUCCAACCCAGCCCCGGACCAACUCCGCCAGCGCACCUGGGCCACCCUCACCUGCCUCAUCCGCGACUUCAACCCCCCCGACCUCAUGGUCCAAUGGCUGCAGGACGGGCGGCCCCUCCCCCAGGGGCGCCACCUCGACUUCCGGCCACGCCCCGAGCCGGGACACGCCCCUUCCGGCCCGGGACACGCCCCUUCCUACCUGAGCCUCAGCACCUUGACGGUGCCGGCGCGCGAUUGGGAGGCCGGGAGCGUCUUCACCUGCCUGGUGGGGCACGAGCGGCUCCCGCUGCGCCUGGCCCAGAGGUCGCUGGACAAGUCGGCCGGUAAACCCGCGCACGUCAACGUCUCCCUCGUGCUGGGGGACUCUUUGGGGGCUUGUUACUAA